CGGGCAGUAGUUCAGUGGAAGAACAGCGGUCUUAUAUACCGCCGGUCGUAGGUUCGAUCCCUACCUGCCCCACCA
rnacentral:tRNA from 1 species